UUCCCUGACCAGGGACUGAACCCAAGACCUCAACAAUGAAAGCUCAGAGUCCUAACCACGGGACCCCCAGGGA